GGGAAGGUGGCUCAGUGGUGGAGCGCUUGUCUUGCAUGCAUGAGGCCCUGGGUU
rnacentral:tRNA from 1 species